AGUGAACGCUGGCGGUAGGCCUAACACAUGCAAGUCGAACGGCAGCACAGUAAGAGCUUGCUCUUACGGGUGGCGAGUGGCGGACGGGUGAGGAAUACAUCGGAAUCUACUUUUUCGUGGGGGAUAACGUAGGGAAACUUACGCUAAUACCGCAUACGACCUACGGGUGAAAGCAGGGGAUCUUCGGACCUUGCGCGAUUGAAUGAGCCGAUGUCGGAUUAGCUAGUUGGCGGGGUAAAGGCCCACCAAGGCGACGAUCCGUAGCUGGUCUGAGAGGAUGAUCAGCCACACUGGAACUGAGACAAGGUCCAGACUCCUACGGGAGGCAGCAGUGGGGAAUAUUGGACAAUGGGCGCAAGCCUGAUCCAGCCAUACCGCGUGGGUGAAGAAGGCCUUCGGGUUGUAAAGCCCUUUUGUUGGGAAAGAAAAGCAGCAGGUUAAUACCCCGCUGUUCUGACGGUACCCAAAGAAUAAGCACCGGCUAACUACGUG
rnacentral:rRNA from 1 species